rnacentral:rRNA from 1 species
UACAGAGGUCCCAAGCGUUGUUCGGAUUCACUGGGCGUAAAGGGUGCGUAGGCGGUCGGGUAAGUCUGAUGUGAAAUCUCACAGCUUAACUGUGAAACUGCAUUGGAUACUAUUCGGCUUGAGAGUUGGAGGGGGGACUGGAAUUCUUGGUGUAGCAGUGAAAUGCGUAGAUAUCAAGAGGAACACCAGUAGCGAAGGCGAGUCCCUGGACAACUUCUGACGCUGAGGCACGAAAGCUAGGGGAGCAAACAGG